UGCAGGCCCAUGCUUCCCUGAGGACG
rnacentral:piRNA from 1 species